UUCUUCUAUAUAUUUCUGGGC
rnacentral:piRNA from 1 species